rnacentral:rRNA from 1 species
GAUGAACGCUGGCGGCGUGCUUAACACAUGCAAGUCGAACGGAAAGGCCCAAGCUUGCUUGGGUACUCGAGUGGCGAACGGGUGAGUAACACGUGGGUGAUCUGCCCUGCACUUCGGGAUAAGCCUGGGAAACUGGGUCUAAUACCGGAUAGGACGAUGGUUUGGAUGCCAUUGUGGAAAGUUUUUUCGGUGUGGGAUGAGCUCGCGGCCUAUCAGCUUGUUGGUGGGGUAAUGGCCUACCAAGGCGUCGACGGGUAGCCGGCCUGAGAGGGUGUACGGCCACAUUGGGGCUGAGAGACGGCCCAGACUCCUACGGGAGGCAGCAGUGGGGAAUAUUGCACAAUGGGCGCAAGCCUGAUGCAGCGACGCCGCGUGGGGGAUGACGGCCUUCGGGUUGUAAACUCCUUUCGCUAGGGACGAAGCGUUUUUGUGACGGUACCUGGAGAAGAAGCACCGGCUAACUACGUG